AUACUUACCUGUCAGGGGAAACAUAAUCAGGAAGGUGGUUUUCCCAGUUUGAGGCUUAUCCAUUGCACUCCGGUUGUGUCGACCCCUGCGAUUUCCCCAAAUCUGGGAAACUCGACUGCAUAAUUUGUGGUAGUGGGGGAGACUGCGUUCUCACUCUCCCCUA